rnacentral:tRNA from 1 species
UGUAGCUCAGUUAGUAGAGCACUUGCCUAGCAAGUGUGAGGCACUGGGUUCAAUUCUCAGCA